rnacentral:lncRNA from 1 species
CUGUGUAAAGUCUUAAAGGAUUUGCAUUUUCAAUAAUUGCAAUGGAGGAAUUUGCAAGCAAUUAUGACAAUACAAUAAAUUUGCCAAUGAUUAAGGCAAUAUAGUAAUUUUUUUCUCUUUUUUUUUUUCUGACAGAAAAAAUAUCACUAUAAUUUAUGGUAGAUGGAAUUUUCUCACAAAAAAUAAUUUGUAGGAUUUGUAUGAUCUAUUUAGAGAUGAGUCUACUCAGAGGC